UGGGGAAUAUUGGACAAUGGGCGAAAGCCUGAUCCAGCCAUGCCGCGUGUGUGAAGAAGGUCUUCGGAUUGUAAAGCACUUUAAGUUGGGAGGAAGGGCAGUAAGCGAAUACCUUGCUGUUUUGACGUUACCGACAGAAUAAGCACCGGCUAACUCUGUGCCAGCAGCCGCGGUAAUACAGAGGGUGCAAGCGUUAAUCGGAAUUACUGGGCGUAAAGCGCGCGUAGGUGGUUCGUUAAGUUGAAUGUGAAAGCCCCGGGCUCAACCUGGGAACUGCAUCCAAAACUGGCGAGCUAGAGUAGGGCAGAGGGUGGUGGAAUUUCCUGUGCAGCGGUGAAAUGCGUAGAUAUAGGAAGGAACACCAGUGGCGAAGGCGACCACCUGGGCUCAUUCUGACACUGAGGUGCGAAAGCGUGGGGAGCAAACAGG
rnacentral:rRNA from 1 species